rnacentral:tRNA from 1 species
UGGUAAUUAGUUUAAAAUAAAAUAAGUGAUUUCGACUCACUAGAUUAUGGUUCACCAUAACUACCAA